AGGGCGUUACAGGACCGGAUAUCUCUCUGCAAAAGGCACUACAGGACCGGAUAUCUCACCGUAAAAGGUGUUACAGGACCGCAUAUCUCACCGUAAAAGGUGUUACAGGACCGGAUAUCUCACCGUAAAAGGUGUUACAGGACCGCAUAUCUCACUGUAAAAGGUGUUACAGGACCGGAUAUCUCACCGUAAAAGGUGUUACAGGACCGCAUAUCUUACCGUAAAAGGUGUUACAGGACCGCAUAUCUCACUGUAAAAGGUGUUACAGGACCGGAUAUCUUACCGUAAAAGGUGUUACAGGACCGCAUAUCUCACUGUAAAAGGUGUUACAGGACCGGAUAUCUUACCGUAAAAGGCUAUUCCUGCUGCCAGCUGGGUCUCUUUCGCAUCCCAAUAAUAAAAUGGCGCCUGUGAAGUAAUUAAUAAGUGAAUUGCCCAUAGGUGUGCAUGUGUGAG